GACGAACGCUGGCGGCGUGCCUAAUACAUGCAAGUCGAGCGGACCUCUUCGGAGGUCAGCGGCGGACGGGUGAGUAACACGUGGGCAACAUGCCUGUACGACUGGGAUAACACCGGGAAACCGGUGCUAAUACCGGAUACUCCUUUUCCACUCAUGUGGGCAAGAUGAAAGACGGCAUCUAGCUGUCACUUACAGAUGGGCCCGCGUCGCAGUAGCUAGUUGGUGGGGUAACGGCCCACCAAGGCGACGAUGCGUAUCCGACCUGAGAGGGUGAUCGGCCACACUGGGACUGAGACACGGCCCAGACUCCUACGGGAGGCAGCAUUAGGGAAUCUUCCGCAAUGGACGAAAGUCUGACGGAGCAACGCCGCGUGGGCGAAGAAGGCCUUCUGGUCGUAAAGCUCUGUUGUCAGGGAAGAACAAGUAUCGGAGUAACUGCCGGUACCUUGACGGUACCUGACCAGAAAGCCACGGCUAACUACGUGCCAGCCGCCGCAGUAACAC
rnacentral:rRNA from 1 species